GCUGGGCAUGGUGGCGUGUGCCUGUAAUCCCAGCUACUCAGGAGGCUGAGGCAGGAGAAUUGCCUGAACCCAGGAGGCGGAGGUUGCGGUGAGCCGAGAUCGCGCCAUUGCACUCCAGCCUGGGUAACAAGAGCGAAACUCCGUCUCACUCUGUUGCCCAGGCUGGAAUGCAGUGGUGCAGUCUUGGCUCACUGCAACCUCCACCUCCCAGGUUCAAGCGAUUCUCCUGUCUCAG
rnacentral:SRP_RNA from 1 species